AAAUGUGAAUAAAAAAUAUAUUUCUAUAAUAUAAUAAAUUACUAAAUAUUUUAUAUUUUAUAAUAUAUAUUAUACUAUAUUUUAUAUUUUAUUUUAUAAUACUAACUAUUAGGUAUUUUAUGAAUCAUCUAAUAUACUUACAAUGUAUGAAAUAUUAGUAUAUAUCAGGUGCAAGCAAAAAUUUCUCCUCUUUUUUUUUUUACUAUGAAAAAGAGCUUUUCAAAGAGCCCGGUUCAUAAUUAAGCAUUCUUUAUACUGAAUGUAUAUAAUUACAUACACCACAUGCUUCAAAUCUCUAAUAGUGGUUUAAAAUUUAAAUCAGAAUAUAUUUAAAUUAUUAGACUUCAUAGCUUAGAUAUAUUUA
rnacentral:lncRNA from 1 species